GAACGAACGCUGGCGGCAUGCCUAACACAUGCAAGUCGAACGGGAUCCUGGUUUCGGCCAGGUGAGAGUGGCGGACGGGUGAGUAACGCGUGGGAACCUGCCCAGUGGUGGGGGAUAACUGCGGGAAACUGGCAGCUAAUACCGCAUGAGCCCGAAAGGGGAAGAUUGAUCGCCAUUGGAGGGCCCGCGUUCGAUUAGGUAGUUGGUGAGGUAACGGCUCACCAAGCCUUCGAUCGGUAGCUGGUCUGAGAGGAUGAUCAGCCACACU
rnacentral:rRNA from 1 species